GACGAACGCUGGCGGCGUGCCUAAUACAUGCAAGUAGAACGCUGAAGGAGGAGCUUGCUCUUCUGGAUGAGUUGCGAACGGGUGAGUAACGCGUAGGUAACCUGCCUGGUAGCGGGGGAUAACUAUUGGAAACGAUAGCUAAUACCGCAUAACAGUAGAUGUUGCAUGACAUUUGCUUAAAAGGUGCAAUUGCAUCACUACCAGAUGGACCUGCGUUGUAUUAGCUAGUUGGUGGGGUAACGGCUCACCAAGGCGACGAUACAUAGCCGACCUGAGAGGGUGAUCGGCCACACUGGGACUGAGACACGGCCCAGACUCCUACGGGAGGCAGCAGUAGGGAAUCUUCGGCAAUGGACGGAAGUCUGACCGAGCAACGCCGCGUGAGUGAAGAAGGUUUUCGGAUCGUAAAGCUCUGUUGCAAGAGAAGAACGAGUGUGAGAGUGGAAAGUUCACACUGUGACGGUAUCUUACCAGAAAGGGACGGCUAACUACGUG
rnacentral:rRNA from 1 species